rnacentral:rRNA from 1 species
CUUGCUUCUCUUGAGAGCGGCGGACGGGUGAGUAAUGCCUAGGAAUCUGCCUGGUAGUGGGGGAUAACGUCCGGAAACGGACGCUAAUACCGCAUACGUCCUACGGGAGAAAGCAGGGGACCUUCGGGCCUUGCGCUAUCAGAUGAGCCUAGGUCGGAUUAGCUAGUUGGUGGGGUAAUGGCUCACCAAGGCGACGAUCCGUAACUGGUCUGAGAGGAUGAUCAGUCACACUGGAACUGAGACACGGUCCAGACUCCUACGGGAGGCAGCAGUGGGGAAUAUUGGACAAUGGGCGAAAGCCUGAUCCAGCCAUGCCGCGUGUGUGAAGAAGGUCUUCGGAUUGUAAAGCACUUUAAGUUGGGAGGAAGGGCAGUUGCCUAAUACGUAACUGUUUUGACGUUACCGACAGAAUAAGCACCGGCUAACUCUGUGCCAGCAGCCGCGGUAAUACAGAGGGUGCAAGCGUUAAUCGGAAUUACUGGGCGUAAAGCGCGCGUAGGUGGUUUGUUAAGUUGGAUGUGAAAUCCCCGGGCUCAACCUGGGAACUGCAUUCAAAACUGACUGACUAGAGUAUGGUAGAGGGUGGUGGAAUUUCCUGUGUAGCGGUGAAAUGCGUAGAUAUAGGAAGGAACACCAGUGGCGAAGGCGACCACCUGGACUAAUACUGACACUGAGGUGCGAAAGCGUGGGGAGCAAACAGGAUUAGAUACCCUGGUAGUCCACGCCGUAAACGAUGUCAACUAGCCGUUGGAAGCCUUGAGCUUUUAGUGGCGCAGCUAACGCAUUAAGUUGACCGCCUGGGGAGUACGGCCGCAAGGUUAAAACUCAAAUGAAUUGAC